rnacentral:rRNA from 1 species
GACGAACGCUGGCGGCGUGCCUAAUACAUGCAAGUCGAGCGGACAGAUAAGGAGCUUGCUCCUUUGAAGUUAGCGGCGGACGGGUGAGUAACACGUGGGCAACCUGCCCUGUAGAUUGGGAUAACUCCGGGAAACCGGGGCUAAUACCGAAUAAUACUUUUUAACUCAUGUUAGAAAGUUGAAAGAUGGUUUACGCUAUCACUACAGGAUGGGCCCGCGGCGCAUUAGCUAGUUGGUGAGGUAACGGCUCACCAAGGCGACGAUGCGUAGCCGCCCGGAGAGGGUGAUCGGCCACACUGGGACUGAGACACGGCCCAGACUCCUACGGGAGGCAGCAGUAGGGAAUCUUCCACAAUGGGCGAAAGCCUGAUGGAGCAACGCCGCGUGAGUGGAGAAGGCCUUCGGGUUGUAAAGCUCUUUUGUCCGGAAAGAAAAGCAUCCAGUUAAUACCUGGGUGUCCUGACGGUACCGGAAGAAUAAGCACCGGCUAACUUCGUGCCAGCCGCCGCAGUAACAC